rnacentral:lncRNA from 1 species
AAUUAUAAUAUCAUAUUAAAAAAAAUCCAAUUAAAGGUUCAAGUCUCAUUAAAAGUCCCAUGGCAAAAACCCGUGAAAAACAAAGCAAAUUGUGAAGCAAUUGCAGACAAGACAAGAGGGGAGAAAUCAAAUGAGUUUCAAAUGUGGCCACUUUGAGUCGUCUUCAAUCUUCAUCUUCCUUUCUUUUCUCUUCCUCUUUAUGUGCUGUGUAGAUAUAUAUGCGACACAAGAAAUUCAUCAGUUUAAUGAAACCCAACAACAUGAAUAGAGUGAAAAUAAGACUGACCAAUUAUGGGGAGAUACGAAGUUGGAGGUCGUAGUUGUCGUAUUCAGAUUGCUGCUCCUCCUGAAUCUGUUUGGCUGAGGCCACUGCAGAAUACCUGCACUCUUCUAAGUGGAUUAAUUGGAGGGUUGGGAUUUCUCCAAUGCCGGCGGGGAUUUCCUCUAGCUUCCUACAAUAUCGUAUAAAGAGAUGGCGGAGUCUAGGGAAGUUGGUUUCAUCAGCUCUCCAACGCACCAGACGUGAAUUAUAGAGUAGUAGAAACUGCAAUGAGCUGAAUUCAUCUCCUUCUGCUAUUUCCCACUCUUCAUUUGCUUCUUCUUCUUCUGUCUCAUUGCUUUUGAAGGUACAAUAUCUUAUCUUGAGUACUUCCAGAUUCGGUAGUGCACACAGAGCCGUCGUCACUGCCGGAGUUAUUACACAACCAAAGAUAUUUAAUUUUCUAAGAGUAGAUGGAUAUUUGGGUACGUGCAUAUAUUGAUCGCAUGAUGACCUCCAACUUAAUGUUUGGAGUUUGUGAAGAUGACUCAGAUCAACUACUUCACUCACCCAUGAGCCUUUAACCGCAUAAUAGAUUUUCAAGCUUUUUAUAUUUGGAAUGCUUUCCAAGAAACCCCUUCUAAUCACUGACGAACUUAUCCUCACAUUCCGUAUCGUCUGCAGCUUCUUCAGAACAAUUUUUUUCAUGUAAUCAUCUUCUAUCAUGAGAUAUGCACCCAACAUAAUGAGAUGUCUUAACUCAGACAUCUCCCACAACUCAGCUGGACAAGAGCCAUCGCCUAACAGAGCAAUCAACGUUUGCAAAUUACACAAUCUUGAUAUUCCACUUCUUGGCAAUGACUUGCAAUUGAUAGAUAAGUAGCGUAAGUUCACAAGUUGUAAUAUUUCUUCCGGGAACUCAAUCUUACGCAUUUCUAAUAAAUCCAACACCCUAAGCAAGUUUAAUGUGAAAACCAUGGGAGAUACAUUCCUAUCCAACUUGACAAAUAGUAGAAAUGAUCGAACAAGUGACAUCUCUGAUGAAGAAGCAUACUCAUCAAUAUCUUCCAUUCCAUAUGAUGUGUGAGUACUCACACGACGCAGCUGGUUAGAGAAUGUGAGCUCGGUGGAUUUCUUGACAUGUAGAAACUUCUCAUCAUCAGCUUUCCUAAUGCAUAAAUCUCUCAAAAGAUCAUGCAUGAUGUACCUCUUUGCUUUUCCAUACCAAUUAUAACUUGUAAUAACCGAAACUAGAUUCCUUUCUACAAGUGAGUUUAAAUAAUCCUCUGCCUCUUCCUCCAAACUUUUAUCUCCAUUCGAUUUCACAAAUCCUUCUGCUACCCACAUCUGUAUGAGUCUCAAGGAGUCAAUCUUAUAAUCUUCGGGGAAUGUUGCCAUAUAGAGGAAACAUGGUUUCAAGUGAAGCGGCAAAUGGUUAUAACUUAAGGAUAGUAUAUUGGAGAAUUGCUUGUCUGAUUCAGCAAUUGCAGCUCUUACAUCGUUCCCAAUAUUCUCCCAAACAUCUUUCAAUCUUUCCACCUUUGACAAGAGCCCUCCAAUCACAUUGAUAGCUAAAGGAAGCCCACCGCAAUCACUCGCAAUCUUCUCUCCUAUCCCUUGUAACUCAUGAGGCCAAUCCUCUUCUCCAAACACAAUUUGGCUAAGUAGAUCCCAACUUUGAGACUCGCUCAGCAACUGCACCUGAUGAUGCAGACUCUUGGAGUCUGCAUAUUUGGCGACAUCCGAUUCCCUAGUGGUGAUCACAAUCCGACUCUUGUUGUUGUUGUCCGGGAAGCUCCCCCUUAUCUCAUCCCAGAAUUUGAUGCUCCAAAUAUCAUCUAAUACAACCAUGUAUCUUCUACUGAACAAGCUCUGAUACAAAAUAACUUUUAACUCACUAUCGCUCUUUCCAUUAUGUUUGUCACAUUCUUGUUUUCCAAUUAUGCACUGAAUAAGGCUUAAUAGAAUUGAGCGCAUAUUGUAAUCUUGUGAAAUUGUGGUCCAAGCAAGAUAGCUAAAGUGGUGAAGAAUGAGUGGAUCUUGAUAAAGUGUUCGAGCAAGAGUGGUUUUACCUAUACCACCCAUACCCACGAUGGGCACGAUCUCCAGCUUGGUCUGAUUCCCGGUCAGCCGAUCCUUCAACUGCAUCAGAACUUCAUCAACUCCCACCACGACGCUCUUCGAACUCGAGAAAGAAGCACCACUCCAUGAGCUGCCAGUUGGCUUCUUGUUUGUCUCCACCUCCACGAGCUCCUCAACUUGUUGCGUUAAAGAAUCAAGUUUUUGUGUCACAAGCAGCACAUCUGGUGUCGCGUCUUCUUCUUCUUCUUCUUCUUCUGGCAUCGAAAACAGUUGUUCAAGCAUGUAAGAUUCAUGCAUCGAGAAAAUUCGUCUAACCAUGUGAGAUUCAACGAUAUCUUCUGCUUCAUUUGCUACGUCUCUGAUUUGGCACUCCAAGCUUGGUAUUUUGGAGAGUAGUGGAGUUUUUUGGAGAAUCUGCUGCUGCAGGUAAGAAGCUUUUUCGAGGAGGGAUUGGAGUUGUGGUUUCUCACGUCCAAGAAUCCAGUGUGUUUGUUCGGGAUCCAGAAUUCCUUGAAGGAUGGUGAUGAGGGAUUGAAGAUUGUAUGCCAUUUUUCAGAUCUCUUCUCACUCGAAAAAUAAAAAAAACAAAAGGAAAGGAAAGUGGUGUUCAGGUAAAUAUGGCUGCCAUUAUUAAGGCCAUCUUUGUCGGUAGGAAAAUUGGGGAGUGCUCACUCUCUCAUCUAGUUUGGAUCAAUGGUGCAACGACAUUUGUCAAUAUUUGAUUGAUUGAGCAGAUUUUGUUAGGAUAACUAGUUUGAAUCAUUUCGUCAGUCACGCAUAUAAUAAUUCCAUGCUAAUCGGAUAAAAUAAAAAUUAAAUAGAUAAAUAAUAAACAAAGUCAAUGUUUCAUGCAUUGUUUGAAAGAAACAAACAACACCCCUUCUAAAUAUGGGGUUAAGUAAAAUGGCGGAAAAAUAUUUCUGCUAAGCAAUUCUGCUUCUAUAUUAUGCGGAGGCAAGCUACGCAGGCCCCGUCCGUAGGGCGUACGUGCUCGAGAUCGGCGAUGAGGUCGUCGGCAUCUUCGAUCCCGACGGAUAUACACACGAGAUCCUUGGUCAGACCUCGCGCCUCGCGUACCGCUGCAGGUAUGCAUGAAGCAGGGCAAGCUGAUGAGGGACUUGACGCUCCCUGUCGUUCCAAAACAAACACUUUCAUGCUUGAGUUAAAAUUACUCGGGAGCGUGGCGGGCAAAUCGAGUAACGAACCGAGAAUACUCACCGAAACUCACGGUUAUGCUGAAAUACUUUGUCGUCUCAACGACGUGCUUGGAGAGAGCCAACGACCCCGUUAAGAAGCUCAGCACGGAUCCUGCACCCUUCGCCUGCACCACGGGGGCAGAUCAAUUAUAUAAUAGUGAAUAUUGUUGUGAGUGGAGUUUGAACUCUACUAUUGUUGUGAGUGGAAUUUGAGGAUCCUAUUGCUAUAAAUGGAAGUGACAAACAUAUUGUGUACAGACCAAAACAGAAAAAGUGACGACGAUAUUGUGAACGAAGAGAGUAGUAAAAAUUACAUACACCUCGGAUCAGUACCUGAGAGUAAUGCAAAGAUUUCCAAUUCUUGUAUAAUCAUAAGUUCCAGGUUCCGUAGCUGAAGGCUGCAGAACAACAGAAUCAGUUGCAAAAGGAAAACUAAAGUUACUUCAACGUUCAGAGACAUUCCUCGAUUUUCAGAAGAGCUUCAAUAAACACCAUUACCCCCAAAAGGCUUCUUCUGAUCUCUCACUUUACAGGAAACCUCUCAAAACAUCAAAGCUAGAACUCACCUGCUUGAAAGUUGCUGUUUGAUAUAGAGGCGUGCUUAAAGCCUCAUAAGGAUCAAAGUCAUUGGAAAAAUUCAUCAACACCGUGGAAACACUUGGCUCCACUUGGCGACUUGUUUGUAUGAUCUCUUCUUCUGUCACAAGUUUAUUACAUUACAAUUGCGCAAACUUUAACACGUCAUGCCUUAACAAGCACGAGCUACAGUAAAGAUAUAAACGUGUGUGUUUCCCUAAAACAGCUUGAGUAUGUAAUAUACAGCUACCAUUUGUGCGUUCGGCAACUCCAUCAACCAAAGCAGACGUGCUGACAUCCAUCCCUUUGUAUCUCAAGCAAUGGAAACAAACAGAGAUGCUGUAAGAGAUCUGUAAAUGUUAGCGCAAAAUGGUAGUUAUGUUGCGAUCAGUUUAUUGAUCAAAGAUAGAGGUUGUAUGUAUGGCAUUUUGUUACAGAGGAAACAAGGUAGUCAGGCAUUAGUUGGCUGGAAACAUCAAAUAGCAAAUGGCAAGAUAAAGGAUAAACAGAGAGCUAAAACACUUUAAAAUUUUCUGCAGAAUGGUAAUAAAACGAGUGAUUGCAUAGCCUAAUACUUCUGAAUUUAAUACUUCCAAAUUUCUCAAAGGGCAUCUGUGGAGUAAUGAUACUUCUCACUGAUUUGAAACAUAGUAUAGUUGCAAUUGGUUCUUGUGUUCAUUAUUUUAAGUGUAUAUUUCAGGACAUUUGUUUAAAUAUUUAUUUAAAGUGAUACAUCUUGUUUUUGUUUGUGUUUGUGAUCAGCUUGAGAGAAUAGUUUGAUCUGGCUGCAAAAAGGAUGAUCGACUCGGAUAAAGGAGUGUUUGUUUUUUCUUAGAAUUUGUUUCAAGAUGCUGAUAUCAUCACAAGUGGCAUGUUACCUCAUCUUCGAGAUUUCAUAUUGUUCAAGAAAAUAUUCAAGUUGUGAAUGGAUUCGAGUUUGACAUUGUACAAUUUUGAGACAUUUAUGCAUAUUACUACUUUGUCUUAGUGUCAUAUUUUGAAUAAUCUUAUACCCUAUUCGUCUAAUAAAAAUAGUCAUAUAUUUUCAUUUUAAAACAUUCACAAAAAAUAGUCCUAUUUUAUUUUCAAACAAGGUCAACGACAAAUUAAUAGUACAUACUAUUAUCUUUAUAUCAAUUUAUUUUAUCUAUUCUACAAUACAUGGUUAACUACUUUAAUUUAGUGCUCGUUUGGUUCACGUAGAGGAAUAGAAAUGGAAUGAAAUCAAAUAAAGGAGUGUAAUGGUAACAAUGAAAAGGAAUCACUUGUAAGAUAUUUCCUUUUUUUUUUUUUGAGGAAUAAUAAUAAUGCACGGUUCUGAAAAAUAUCACCAAACAUAGAAGUUUGUAGGUUGUGUUGUAAGCCUUUUUAAAAAAUUGGCAAAAUUUUCAUUUUUGUUGAAGAUUGAUUCUUCAAGACUUGUACAUGCAUUAAUAUACUUGGGUUUCUUUGGAUUUUAAAGUUGCAUCUAGGGCUGUAAACGAGCCGAGCCGAGCCGAAUACAAGCAGGCUCGAGCUCGGCUCGUUUAAAUAUUCGGGUGUUCGAGCUCGGCUCGAGCUCGAUUCGAGCUUUUAUCUUGAUGAUCGAGCUCGGCUCGUCACCCACAUACUAAGCUCGAGCUCGGUUCGAGUUCGGCUCGGGUGAUGCUCGAUAAUGUCGAAUUCGAGCUUGAGCUCGAGCUCGGCUUGUUAGAUGUUCGUAUUUAUGAUGUUCAAGCUCAAAUUUGUUAUAAAUUUAAGAAAAUAUUUUUAAUUAAUAUGUUAUUCGAGUUCGAGUUCGACUCGUUUAAGGCUCGUUUACUAACUCGAUUGAAGGCUCGACUGAAAGUUCGUGAACAGGCUCGCGAACAUGUUCACGAACAAUCGAAUUCGAACAUGUUCGCGAGCUCAACGAGCCGAGCACUGUCAGGCUCGAGCUCGGCUCGAUAAAAAUUUUGAGCUUGAAAUCAGGCUCGAGCUCGGUUCGUUUAUUAUCGAAUUGAGCUCCGAACGAGCUUUUUUCGAGCCGAAUAUCGAAUAGCUCGCGGGUAGCUCUGUUCAUUUACAGCCCUAGUUGCAUCAAACCAAAAAACUUACAUAUAUAAAGAAAUUAAAGGAGAAAAAAAAAGGAGGGGAGGACAACUUGCUAGAAAAAAAAAACAAUGGGGCAAUUUAAAAUUGAUAAAAAUAGUUAUUCAAAUGAGGAAAAAACAAGGCAGUAAAAAAAACACGAAAAGUGAAAAACAAAGCAAAUUGUGAAGCAAUAGUAGACAAGACAAGAGAAGGGAAAUCAAAUGAGUUUCAAAUGUGGCCACUUUUAGUCGUCUUCAUCUUCCUUUCUUUGCUGAAAUCGGUGCUAAAAAAAUAAAAUAAAAAAUUAUUACGAUACAAAUAUAUGUGUUUGGAAAGCAAGGCGAAAGAUUUUAUUUAUUUUUGGAUAGGCAGAAAGUGAUAAUAAUACUGACCAAAUCAUCAUCUGAGUGAGUCGAUACGAAGUUGGAAUUGGUAGUUUUCGUAUUCAGAUUGCUGCUCCUCAUGAAUCUGUUUCGCUGAGGCGUCUGCAGAAUCGCUGCAACCAUCUAACUCGAUUAAUUGGAGGGUUGGGAUUUCUCCAAUGCCGGCGGGGAUUUCCUCUAGAUAAAGACAAUAUUCUAAACAGAGAUGGCGGAGUCUAGGGAAGUUGGUUUCAUCAACUCUCCAACGCACUAGAUAUAAAAAAUCAAGAUGUAGAAAGUUGGAGUUGGAGUUGGUAGUUCUCGUAUUCAGAUUGCUGCUCCUCCUGAAUCUGUUUGGCUGAGGCCACUGCAGAAUCGCUGCAA